rnacentral:rRNA from 1 species
GACGAACGCUGGCGGCGUGCUUAACACAUGCAAGUCGAACGGUGAACCAGAGCUUGCUCUGGGGAUCAGUGGCGAACGGGUGAGUAACACGUGGGCAACCUGCCCCAGACUCUGGGAUAACUCCGGGAAACCGGAGCUAAUACCGGAUACGACUACUUCGGACAUCCGACGGUAGUGGAAAGUUUUUCGGUCUGGGAUGGGCCCGCGGCCUAUCAGCUAGUUGGUGGGGUAAUGGCCUACCAAGGCGACGACGGGUAGCCGGCCUGAGAGGGCGACCGGCCACACUGGAACUGAGACACGGUCCAGACUCCUACGGGAGGCAGCAGUGGGGAAUAUUGCACAAUGGGCGAAAGCCUGAUGCAGCGACGCCGCGUGAGGGACGACGGCCUCGGUUGUAAACCUCUUUCAGCAGGGACGAAGCGAAAGUGACUGUACCUGCAGAGAAGCACCGGCUAACUACGUGCCAGCAGCCGCGGU